GGUGGAAGAAGUAAUUACAUUUUUUUUUCAAAUCUCAGAGGAAUAAUGCUUUUAUAUUUCCUGCGAUGACCCAAUUUGCACUACGAUAUGCUCCCUUAAAUACAUUUAGCUGGAAACUUUGAACUUUUAUCCUCUGCAUCCAUACAAUACGCAGCCUUUGACUCUCGGGAGUGAGCCUGAUCAGGCCUGGAGUUAGGAGAGCUGGGCUCUAGACUGGAUCUUCUCCAGGAAAUCUGGCCUUGGGGUCUUCCCUGUGAGAUCAUGAAAGAGUAGAUGAUUUCAAGAUGAUUGUUUCUAGAAAAAUCUUUCUAGCUCUAGGAUUCUUCACCUCUGUGCCUGCAUGACUUGAAUUUACUGACAAUUUACCCAAUGUUUGGUGUAGGAAAAGUGCAUUUUGUCCAAGGUGACCCAAGAGUGCUAUGGCAUCUUUACUUGGUAAGAUGCCUUCUCACGUUUGAAAAUCUUUUCCUGUCAUGAAUGCAGUGUUGCUUUGAAUGUGCACGAUUUCCCACUGCUGCUGUUUAAAUGAUAACAGCAGGUUCAAGUGAUUUGCAAACUGUCAGGAAAAUGACCUCAGACACCCCAGUUAUUUUCAGUGACUGUAGAUACACCCUUAGGCUAAAGCCACAACAGAAUUUUAAAUAAAGCAGGAUAAACCCAAACUGACUACCUUCCCCACUUCUGACACUUUGAAUGGUUAAGGACCCUUCAGCCUGGCUCCAGUUCCUGUUCUGUUAGAAACACCACAUUACCUGCAGAGGGGUGCCCAAGAACUGACAUAUUCUAAGGAGAAAAAUGUAUUAUAACAUUUGCUUUAAAUCUCAAUUAUUAAUCUCCUCUCCUAACUAUCUGAAGGGCCUCUCUCCUCCCUCACCCCCAGUUUAUUCCAGAUAUUUUCAACACACUUAAACACAAUUUGGAAUUAUUUUGUUUCUUUGUUUUAUUUUUUAUUUUACUUUAAGUUUUGGGAUACAUGUGCAGAACAUGCAGGUUUGUUACAUAGGUAUACAUGUGCCAUGGUGGUUUUCCUGCACCUAUCAAACCUGUCAUCUAGAUUUUAAGCCCCGCAUGCAUUAGGUAUCUGUCCUAAUGCUCUCCCUCCCCUUGUCCCCCACUUCCCGAGAGGCCCCGGUGUGUGAUGUUCCCCUCUCUGUGUCCAUGUGUUAAAAUCUGACCCCUUUACCAGAAUUUCCCAUAUUAAAGGGAAGGGACCAA
rnacentral:lncRNA from 1 species